UGAACAAAUCCCAUAAUCUUUUUUCCACAAUGAGUAGGAACUAAUAUUGGAAUAUUACAUCUUUGUGACACCACUAAAAUGCGGAAUUCAGUUUUGCUGCUUUUCAGUCAUUUAGGCUGAUUCAUGUUCUGUUUGGUCAGUGACUGCAUAGCACAAACCAAGUUGACUGCAGGACAUACAAAGACCCUCGGGGAAGAAAGAAGUUAUCACUGUAAAUCCAGUCCACUAUGACAUCAGUGUGGGAAAAGAAAGCAGAUUAGGCUUCAUAAUGUGGCUGAAGGGCUUAUGAGAAAACACUGAAGUCCAGCAAGGAAGAAAAACGUCCUGCCUCCACACUUCAGACUCAAGACUACAGUGUCAGCUCUUCCCUGGGUUUCCAAAAUGCAGACCUAAGUCUGGUGAAGUAGCUCAGCGGGUAAGGGCACUUGCUGUGAAAGCC